rnacentral:siRNA from 1 species
GCUACUUGGAGCUCUACGGUUACU